rnacentral:rRNA from 1 species
UACGUAGGGGGCAAGCGUUGUCCGGAAUCAUUGGGCGUAAAGCGCACGUAGGCGGCCCGGUAAGUCCGUUGUGAAAGUCAGAGGCUCAACCUCUGGAGGCCAAUGGAUACUGCCGGGCUAGAGUCCGGAAGAGGCGAGUGGAAUUCCUGGUGUAGCGGUGGAAUGCGCAGAUAUCAGGAGGAACAUCAGUUGCGAAGGCGGCUCUCUGGACCAGCACUGACACUGAGGCACGAAAGCGUGGGGAGCAAACAGG